rnacentral:lncRNA from 1 species
AAAAAUUUUAUUUCAUAUCCACAAUCUAGGUAUUAGUGGCGGACUCAAAUCGAAUAAAAUAAUCGUAAUAAUAAAAUCAGAUUGGGAUUUCUCAAUAGAAAAAACGUAAGAAUCGGGAAAUAAUGAGAUGGUCCAGAUUUUUCUUGUCUAUCGCAAAAUCUCAAUAUCAAUAUUUGAAUCGAGGAUUCACGCUGUAAGACUUAUCUGAUCUUAUAAAUUUUAAAAAUGUUCAAAUUCUUGUUUUCCAAUAAAUAAAAUUCUUAAUUUUUUUUUGUUAGGACAUUAUUCAAAUUAAAG